rnacentral:rRNA from 1 species
AGUCGAGGGGUAUUGUUCUUCGGAAUGAGAGACCGGCGCACGGGUGCGUAACGCGUAUGCAAUCUACCUUUCACAGAGGGAUAGCCCAGAGAAAUUUGGAUUAAUACCUCAUAGUAUAACACAGCCGCAUGGUUGAGUUAUUAAAGUCACAACGGUGAAAGAUGAGCAUGCGUCCCAUUAGCUUGUUGGUAAGGUAACGGCUUACCAAGGCAACGAUGGGUAGGGGUCCUGAGAGGGAGAUCCCCCACACUGGUACUGAGACACGGACCAGACUCCUACGGGAGGCAGCAGUGAGGAAUAUUGGACAAUGGGCGCAAGCCUGAUCCAGCCAUGCCGCGUGCAGGAUGACGGUCCUAUGGAUUGUAAACUGCUUUUGCACAGGAAGAAACACUCGGACGUGUCCGAGCUUGACGGUACUGUGAGAAUAAGGAUCGGCUAACUCCGUGCCAGCAGCCGCGGUAAUACGGAGGAUCCAAGCGUUAUCCGGAAUCAUUGGGUUUAAAGGGUCCGUAGGCGGUUUGGUAAGUCAGUGGUGAAAGCCCAUCGCUCAACGGUGGAACGGCCAUUGAUACUGCUAGACUUGAAUUAUUAGGAAGUAACUAGAAUAUGUAGUGUAGCGGUGAAAUGCUUAGAGAUUACAUGGAAUACCAAUUGCGAAGGCAGGUUACUACUAAUGGAUUGACGCUGAUGGACGAAAGCGUGGGUAGCGAACAGGAUUAGAUACCCUGGUAGUCCACGCCGUAAACGAUGGAUACUAGCUGUUGGAAGCAAUUUCAGUGGCUAAGCGAAAGUGAUAAGUAUCCCACCUGGGGAGUACGUUUCGCA